rnacentral:rRNA from 1 species
GAGGAUAAGGAUCAUGAAGAGAGAGUAAAAGUAAAACGGGAAAUUACCAUGACAAAAGUGGAUGGAGUGGGGAGAGGUUUUUAGGGUUAUUUAUUUUAGCCUUGAGCUUGAUCUUCAUUUUUAUUUUUACUUCCAAUUUUGAUCUCCAGCUUAAAAUUUAUUUUCUUUGCAUAAAGGUCUUUCGUCAGGCAUUGGGAUUACCACACUGC